AAACGCUGGCGGCAUGCCUAACACAUGCAAGUCGAACGGACUAAUUGGGGCUUGCUCCAAUUAGUUAGUGGCAGACGGGUGAGUAACAUGUGGGAAUCUACCCAUCAGUACGGAAUAACUUUUAGAAAUAAAAGCUAAUACCGUAUAUUCUCUACGGAGGAAAGAUUUAUCGCUGAUGGAUGAGCCCGCGUCAGAUUAGGUAGUUGGUGAGGUAAUGGCUCACCAAGCCGACGAUCUGUAGCUGGUCUGAGAGGAUGACCAGCCACACUGGGACUGAGACACGUCC
rnacentral:rRNA from 1 species